AAAGGCCACUGUGGGGAUCUAUACCAUACAUGAGUUUUCUGUGAUCACUCAUCAACAUGGAAGGGAGAGGCUGUGUGUUGUGUCUCCUUGUAGGAUUCUUUCUAGUGUCUGUGGCUGGAGCCCUGCAGUGUCGGGCUGUGCCUGGCAGUCUGAAGCA